AACGUACGCUGGCGGCACGCCUAAUACAUGCAAGUCGAACGAGAAAGUUUCCUUCGGGAAAUUAGUAAAGUGGCGCAAGGGUGAGUAUCACGUGAAUAAUCUGCCCUCGAGAUCGGGAUAACAUGGUGAAAACUAUGCUAAUACCGGAUAAGACCACAUUUCAUAAGAAAUGUGGUAAAAGGAGUCUCAAUCUUCACUCGGGGAUGAGUUCGCGCAACAUUAGCUUGUUGGUGAGAUAAAAGCUCACCAAGGCUACGAUGUUUAGCCGGCCUGAGAGGGUGAACGGCCACACUGGAACUGAGACACGGUCCAAACUCCUACGGGAGGCAGCAGUGGGGAAUCUUGCACAAUGGGGGAAACCCUGAUGCAGCGAUGCCGCGUGAGUGAAG
rnacentral:rRNA from 1 species